CUACGGGUGGCACCAGUGAGGAAUAUUGCACAAUGGGGGGAACCCUGAUGCAGCAACGCCGCGUGGAGGAUGACGCAUUUCGGUGUGUAAACUCCUUUUAUAUGUCAAGAAAAUGACGGUAGCAUAUGAAUAAGCACCGGCUAACUCCGUGCCAGCAGCCGCGGUAAUACGGAGGGUGCAAGCGUUACUCGGAAUCACUGGGCGUAAAGGACGCGUAGGCGGGUUGGAAAGUCAGGUGUGAAAUCCUACAGCUUAACUGUAGAACUGCACUUGAAACUUCUAAUCUAGAGUAUGGGAGGGGGAGGUGGAAUUAGUGGUGUAGGGGUAAAAUCCGUAGAUGUCACUAGGAAUACCUAAAGCGAAGGCGAUCUCCUGGAACAUUACUGACGCUAAGGCGUGAAAGCGUGGGGAGCAAACAGGAUUAGAUACCCCAGUAGUC
rnacentral:rRNA from 1 species